AACGCGAAGAACCUUACCUGGGUUUGAAUGUCAUCUGUAAGCCUCAGAGACGAGGUCCCCUCUUCGGAGGCAGGUGGCGAGGUGCUGCAUGGCUGUCGUCAGCUCGUGUCGUGAGAUGUUGGGUUAAGUCCCGCAACGAGCGCAACCCUUGUCCAUAGUUACUAACGGGUAGAGCCGAGAACUCUAUGGAGACUGCCGGUGAUAAACCGGAGGAAGGUGGGGAUGACGUCAAGUCCUCAUGGCCUUUAUGUCCAGGGCUACACACGUGCUACAAUGGGCGGCACAAAGAGUUGCGAUCCCGCGAGGGGGAGCUAAUCUCAAAAAACCGCUCUCAGUUCGGAUUGCAGUCUGCAACUCGACUGCAUGAAGCUGGAAUCGCUAGUAAUCGCGGAUCAGCACGCCGCGGUGAAUACGUUCCCGGGCCUUGUACACACCGACGCGUA
rnacentral:rRNA from 1 species